rnacentral:rRNA from 1 species
UACGGGGGGGGCAAGCGUUGUUCGGAAUUACUGGGCGUAAAGGGUUUGUAGGUGGCUUGUUAAGUCAGACGUGAAAUCCCUCAGCUUAACUGGGGAACUGCGUCUGAUACUGGCGAGCUUGAGUGCAGGAGAGGAACGCGGAAUUCCAGGUGUAGCGGUGAAAUGCGCAGAUAUCAGGAGGAACACCGGUGGCGAAGGCGGGUCUCUGGGCCGAUACUGACGCUGAGGAGCGAAAGCGUGGGGAGCGAACAGG